GUAGGGAAUAUUGGACAAUGGGCGAAAGCCUGAUCCAGCCAUGCCGCGUGUGUGAAGAAGGUCUUCGGAUUGUAAAGCACUUUAAGUUGGGAGGAAGGGCAGUAAGUUAAUACCUUGCUGUUUUGACGUUACCGACAGAAUAAGCACCGGCUAACUUCGUGCCAGCAGCCGCGGUAAUACGAAGGGUGCAAGCGUUAAUCGGAAUUACUGGGCGUAAAGCGCGCGUAGGUGGUUUUGUAAGUUGGAGGUGAAAUCCCCGGGCUCAACCUGGGAACUGCCUCCAAAACUGCAUGACUAGAGUACGGUAGAGGGUAGUGGAAUUUCCUGUGUAGCGGUGAAAUGCGUAGAUAUAGGAAGGAACACCAGUGGCGAAGGCGACUACCUGGACUGAUACUGACACUGAGGUGCGAAAGCGUGGGGAGCAAACAGGAUUAGAAACCCGUGUAGUCC
rnacentral:rRNA from 1 species